rnacentral:rRNA from 1 species
AUUGAACGCUGGCGGCAGGCUUAACACAUGCAAGUCGAGCGGGGGAAGGUAGCCUGCUACCGGACCUAGCGGCGGACGGGUGAGUAAUGCUUAGGAAUCUGCCUAUUAGUGGGGGACAACAUCUCGAAAGGGAUGCUAAUACCGCAUACGUCCUACGGGAGAAAGCGGGGGAUCUUCGGACCUUGCGCUAAUAGAUGAGCCUAAGUCGGAUUAGCUAGUUGGUGGGGUAAAGGCCUACCAAGGCGACGAUCUGUAGCGGGUCUGAGAGGAUGAUCCGCCACACUGGGACUGAGACACGGCCCAGACUCCUACGGGAGGCAGCAGUGGGGAAUAUUGGACAAUGGGGGGAACCCUGAUCCAGCCAUGCCGCGUGUGUGAAGAAGGCCUUAUGGUUGUAAAGCACUUUAAGCGAGGAGGAGGCUACUCUAGUUAAUAUCUAGGGAUAGUGGACGUUACUCGCAGAAUAAGCACCGGCUAACUCUGUGCCAGCCGCCGCGGUAACAC